CUAGAAAAGUAUAAAAACACGAAAAAAUGUAAGCCAGAUCUAAAUCCCAGAUUUUUGGCUCAAAAAUGGAUUUGGGUGACUUUGGUGUGUUACUAAUUUUGUGCUUUCUGCUGUUAGUGCAGGUUUCUGGUCGAGCACUUCUACCAGAUGAUGAAUAUGUGGAUCACCGAGAUGACAGAGGUCCGGUGCUUUUUCCGACUGUUAGUUCUUAAAAAAUCAAUUUGAAUAAAAAAUUAUUUAAAGUAAUACAUGUGUGUUAUUUCUAAUUAAUUGCUGCAAACGACGUAAAAUUACCACUUUCUGAUAAAAAUUAUUUAUACGUAUUUGCAAUAAAGAAUGAGCUUUCCAUAAAAAUUUAUUGGGCCCAAAUUCUGAUAAAACUGUGGACGCAACUGUACGUUAUUUAGUAUAAUUUUGGUAACGUCUUAAUAAACAGUCAUGUUUAAAAUAGGAAUUGUUCUAUUCCUGCUGUACUUGUUUGUACACAUUUUGGGGCAAUCAGCAAAUACAUCUUUAAACAUCACAAAUGGAACUCUUACAAACUUAAUUGUCCUACCGAUUGUUCCACCUUUUCCACCCGUAAUUGAAGUGAACCUAUGAGAAAUUGUGAACCAAAAAAUAUGUUUAUUAAAUACUACACUUACUUAAAAUACCAAGAAUGUUCAGAAAACUAAAUAUUACUCCUAGGUGACUAUGAGGGUUAUUGUAGGCCAGCAGAAUAUAUAUGCUCGUAUUUUUUAAUCAGUAUCGUAAAGUUUUAAAGUUGUGUGUGCUGUCAGUUGUAGUUUAUGAAUUUUAUUGCUAAAUAAAGAAACAAACAAAGGA